GAUCAAGGAUGUAAGUGAUGCAAUUCAAAAGGUUGCUGCUGCCUAUGACUGUAAAAUCGUUGAGGGUGUGCUUAGCCACCAAAUGAAGCAGUUUGUUAUUGAUGGGAAUAAAGAUGUGCUUAGUUUGUCUAAUCCGGACACAAGGGUUGACGAAGCAGAGUUUGAGGAGAAUGAAGUUUAUGCAAUUGAUAUAGUAACUAGCACUGGGGACGGCAAGCCUAAGCUGUUGGAUGAGAAGCAGACAACUAUCUAUAAGAGGGCUGUUGACAAGAGUUAUCACUUGAAGAUGAAAGCGUCUAGGUUCAUUUUCAGUGAAAUAAGCCAAAAGUUUCCUAUCAUGCCGUUCUCUGCUAGGGCUUUGGAAGACAAAAGAGCUCGACUUGGUUUGGUGGAAUGCGUCAACCAUGAGCUCUUGCAGCCAUAUCCUGUUUUGCAUGAAAAGCCUGGUGAUUUUGUUGCGCACAUCAAAUUCACAGUCUUGUUGAUGCCAAAUGGAUCGGAUUGAAUCACAACUCAUCCACUCCAAGAAUUGCAGCCUACAAAAACAAUAGAUGAUCCUGAUAUUAAGGCUAGCCUUGGGCACAAAGACAAAGAAGAAAGGUGGUGGGAAGAAGAAAAAAGGUAAGAAAGGGGACAAGGCAGAUGAGACAACUGAAGCUGAGGCUAUGAACUCAACAAACGGGGCCACUCCUCAAGAGUGACUUAACUACCCUUCCCUCUCCUCUCCUCUCCCCAAACAAUGAAAGAAGCUUUUUCGUUUCAUUUUCGACACCUCUUUUCAAUUUUGGUACAUUGUUCACCAAAUUGUAUUUUGCUUGCUUGGAUGUCAAUUUUAGUAUAGUGUUCCGACAUUGAUUUUAAUAGGAAUUUAUAUAUGCACAUUUUA